rnacentral:rRNA from 1 species
UACGUAGGUGGCAAGCGUUGUCCGGAUUUACUGGGCGUAAAGAGCGCGCAGGCGGUCGUUCAAGUCGCGUGUGAAAGCCCCCGGCUCAACUGGGGAGGGUCACGCGAUACUGAUCGACUGGAAGGCAGGAGAGGGUAGUGGAAUUCCUGGUGUAGCGGUGGAAUGCGCAGAUAUCAGGAGGAACACCGAUGGCGAAGGCAGAUCUCUGGGCCGUAACUGACGCUGAGGAGCGAAAGCAUGGGGAGCGAACAGG